rnacentral:misc_RNA from 1 species
GGGCGGUAUUGUGCCACUCAAUCUGUUGUGAGACAGAUCAAGAACUUGCAGAAAACUAGCCUUGCAUAUUGAAUCAGGAAUAACUCCUACGAGGCCAUUUUUUGAAAGAGAAAAGAAAAUGGUGAAGGAGAGAGACUUACCAAUGUCGGGUGGGAUGGAAGAAGUAAAGUUAUUGUUUGAGCAAUCCACAUAGACAACAGAUGGCGGAAGGAGUGGAACAUUCCCUUGGAGCACGUUAUUGUGCAGGUCCAAUAUAGCAAGACCAGUAGGGAGAGAAAGAGGCUCUGGUAGACUCACCAGCAGAUUCUGUGAAAGAUUC